AAAGAAACCCGUAUCUGAUUCUGACCAAACUUAUCUUUUCUUCCCUCACAUUCCCCCACCGUAGCUGUGUCUUCUCCUUGUCUUUGAAGUGUGGAAGGGAGAAGCAAGGAGCUCUCCUGAACUGGCCGUGAGGUUCUCCAGGUGCCAAAUUUCUUCUUUCAUUUCCUUUCGUUUGGAUGCUUAGAAAAUGCGGAAGAUUAGCCACGAAAAAAAAUUCACACAAAAAAUUGGUAACUGGGUGUUUAAGAGUAAGGCCUUUUAAUUAAUGAAUGAAACAUAAAAACUCGAAUUUCAAUCCUAAAAGCCCAGUGAAGGUUUGUUAGGUUCAUGUUUUGACUUAACUUCUCUGCUUCCAGAGUUCUGUUAAGUUUAGACAAUGGUGGGCUCUUUGCCUCCAGCUUUUCCUUAUUGUGAGAAGCCAAUUUAUUGAGUAGACUUAGAACUAGGAGAGUGGUGGAGGAUUGAGAAAUUUCAAUGCUGUGGAUGAAAUUCUUGCUUUGGUCAUAGUGUUUAUAGGAACUGGAAGAUUUGCACUUGCUAUUGGAAUUGGAAUCGCGCGUUACGUGAUAGUUUUUAAUAUGCAGAAGUAUGGUCUGCAGACUGCGGGGCAUUCAGAUGUUAUAAAUGAAAGUUCAAGGAAGACCAAAAUUUAGACCAAACUAGCAAGAAGAAGAAAAAGCUGAAAAGAGCUCUGGCCACAUUUUUUUCUUCUUUGGGAUUGGUGGCACAUUGGUGCAAUAAUUUGCUUUUGGUUUGACAGCAAUUAAAAUGAUAGGGAGGCUUUUGGAACUUUAAGCAACAUUAGGGGACUGAUUGCUCUGUUUUAAACUUUAGUGGGACAAUGCAACUCAGUUGAUAAGGAUGUAAUUGAGGCAAGGAUCAUGGUUCAAACCAUUAAAGGAUGUGGAAGGAAAACUUGCAGGUAUUGUAAGUAAUCCACCGUACAUACCAAGUGACAAUAUCUCUGGGCUACAAGCUGAGGUUGGUAGACAUGAACCAAGACUUGCAUUAGAUGGUGGUCUUAAUGGCAUGGAUGUUCUUCUCCAUCUUUGCAAUGGGGCUGCUUUGAUGUUAAAACCUGCUGGAUUUUUAAUUUUUGAGAUAAGUUCAACAAAGAAAUGAGACACUUGGGUGAGUUAGGAAUGGUCAAAUAUGAUCCAUAAGCACAUGAAGAUUCUGGAAUGGGAAGCCUUCUCCCAACCUUGGUUGUAGAGAAUAAAUUCCUCUGAUACAUGUCAAGAAUUAGCAGACCUGAUUGUAGGCCGUCAUUCUAGGUGGUCACCAAAGAUGAUAAUACAAAAAAGGACCUGGGUAAGGUACUAACUUGGCUCUUUGCAAACGAUUCUGUCAAUGUCCAUAUGACUUGUUGGUGAAAAGGACAAGAACUUGAUAUGUUGGUAUAGGGAUAAUGAGAUGUUUAAUGGGUCUGGAAUCUGGAUGGUUGGAUAUGCUGUUAGGAUUCUUAUAUUGCAAAUGCUGUUCUAAAAAAAAUAUAAAUAAUAGUGUUAUUUUAGUGACUUUAAUAUCUAGUUUGGAUGAGUUCUUCUAUUCUGGAACCUGACACCUUUGCCUUGAACCCACCCCCAAACUUAAUUAGGUUGUGUCCUUAUAGACCAUAUUGGAGUCCUUAAUUGGGUCCAAAUGGUUUAGAAACCAUGUUUUUCUUGGCUAUUUCUACCUGUGCACAUAACUCAACCUGUGUCCCUAUUGCAUGGCUUCUAGUGGUUUCAUUUAUGAGGAAGUCUCAAUGUUUUUCUUUUCCCUGUUGCAUGGCUUCUAGUGGUUUCAUAUAUGAGGAAGUCUCAGUGUUAUUCUUUUGCUUUUCCUUUUCAAUAUCUAGGGAACACAAAUUGUUUAAUUUUACAUUCUCUUGUGUUAUGCCAUAUGGUUUAUGAUAAAGUAUUUCAUACUCCUUUACACUUCCUGUGUUUUUGAACUCAUUAAGCAUAAUUUAUUUUUUGUCCCUACUUUGGAUUUCUUUUUUUGUUAAGUAAUGUCAAUUUAGUGAAAACAGAAAGCGUAUGCAAGAAGUAUACAGUAAAAAAAAAUGAAAAACACCAAUGAAAAGUAGAAACAAAGAGGAGAGAAAGAUACAAGCGUAGAAAUUAUUGGCAAAUAAGAGAAGAAUCCAAGAACUCCAUCAAAGAAUACACCUAUAAAGUAUAGGAUUUCAAACUUCAUUCAUAAAGGGUCUUCAAAAACAUGAACUUGAAAUUAGGCAAAGUUAACUUCUUUCCCUUAAAUGUAGGUUGAUUAUUCUCCAUCCAAAUGCACAACAUAAGACAAUCAAGAAUGGAACCCCACACUUCCUUGAAUCUGUGGAAUCCCUAGGCUCCUUUCCAAGGCUCCAACAUAGCCAUAACAUAACUUGGCAUGACCCAAGUGAUCCAAACUAGGCAAAAUAGACAAAAAGGCCCACAGGUCACAAGCAAUAGGACAAUGUAACAGGAGAUGACUCACUGACUUACCAUCAGAUUUGCACAAGCAGCACCAGUCUGCCAUGAUAAAAGUCGUCUUUUGAAGAUUAUCCGUCACCUAUAUAAUCCCAAGAGCCAUCACCCAAACAAAGAAUGCAACACUAGGUAGGGUUAGCAUUUUCCGUAUGCAUUUCCAAGGAAAUUGGAUAGGAUUUACAGCCCUUAAUCUGUAAUCCAGUCUUAGGUGAUGGAAGCGGAACCCAUCUAUCAGAACCUGUAGGGGUUACCUUCGCUGCAUACAAAUCAUCCAAAAAAUUGGGCCGCCGAAUCUAACUCUCAGUCUUGUGCUUCUAAGAUGAAGACAGGUUUCCAAUGCACCUGACCGUUAACCCAUUCAAAAUAGUCUGAAUUCUAAAAUCAACGCCUCUUUGUUUCUGUCAAACCUAAACAACUCAGGGUAUCUAUCCUGGAAAGUCCCAUUGCUAUCCCAUGAUACUUCCAAAACAAAACUUGGGAACCAACCCCCACCUCAAAACGAGUGUAUGAAGCAAACUUCUCCCAACCCUUACUGAUAUUUUUCCAUUGGCCUACCCCAUAAGGACCUUUUACCAUUUCAGAGUACCUCUGGCAUCAAGUAGUAUUGUACAAUGAUGACUUCUGUUCCAACCGAUACCUACACAGCCAUUUCCCAAGCAAAGCUUGGUUAAAAAUCAGCAGCUUUCAAAUGCCCGCUACCCCUUGGAUUGGAUUGCACAUAGUAGACCAAUAAACCAAAUGGAAUUUAUGCUCCCCAUGAAGCCCACCCCACAGGAAGUUUGUAUUUUUUUCCAACGUGUUGGCUACACUAACAGGAAUGGGGAAGAAGAACAAGGAAUAAGAAUAGGUAGGGAGACUUGAAAGCGUAUGCUUGAUUAAAGUUAGGCUAACAGGCUUCCUCUAGAUUAUUUCCUCUCACUCGUUUACAAUUGGUUUCACUCUUUCCUACAAUGGGUGGAAUAUGAAAUGAUAGUAGAAUGUAUUAACUUUAUAUACUCUUAUUAUUCUGAUAUUAUCAUUUAAUACUUACAAAUACAUAUUGAAUAGAUAAAAAAAUGUCUUAUAGACAUUACUUAUAAAAAUAAAAAUAAUAAACGUUUUGUAGCAUCAUAUGCGGAAUAAACUUCUACCCAGUACAGUUUUGACAACAAUGAUUAACAGGGAAUUCUUAAAUUAAAUUAUGUGUAAAAAAACAGGGCAUACGAUGGAUGCUUAUAAGAAAAGCCUAGCUUCUAACAUGAAAAAAUGGUGUACCUAGUGCACAAGACUCAUUUUGUGGUCUAGGAGAGGUAGUUGGUAGGUAACCUUAUCUCCAAUUUCAAAGAGGUUAAUUCCCAAACUCAAACUUAUGAUACAUCGCUUGGUGUAGAUGGCAAUUACCAUUGCACCAAGGUUUGACAUCUCUUGCUUCUAAUCAUGAAAUGAGCUAUAAGUCACACCGUGUUUAAUCAAAGAACCCACCGUUCUGCUUUGAUAAUUCUUUCAAGUAGGAUGAGUAAAUGAAAAAGCAAAAACUCUGAUACGAAGUUAAUUUUUUUUUUUUUUUUUUUUUUUUUUUUUUUUCUGGUCUUGUUCUCUUCCUUUGAGUCAGCAAACUUGACGUGCGUUUUAUCAUAGAUUUCCAUAUACUGCACAUAAUUCAUACUUCCUAUGAAUUAUGUAGGCAUAGAAGUAAUAAAGAAUUUGAAGUAUAGAUUGUCAUGAGGAAAGAAUACAGUUCCUCCAUUUCAACUCCCCCUCCCCCCCAACCCCAAAACAUUGUACAAGCAGAGAUGUUUUCUCAUUGUCAAUAUGAACUCUUAAAUAUUUAGUUGGAGAUGAUUAACACUGUAAUGAACAUUUUACAAUGUUACCCAUAUUUGCAUGUGUGUGUGUGUGUGUGUAUAUAUAUAUAUAUAUAUAACUCAUACCUAUAAUAUGGUUGUGACUUAACCCUCCACCCUUAUUUCUGAGUUAAGACGCCAUUUGAUCCAAAGAUCAUUGGUACUGCAUACUUAUAAUUAUUUCAUUACAUUAAUAUCUUAUCCGAAGCUAGAUGUGACAAUCUUUUUUCCUGGAUUCUUGACUUAUUUUUCCCCACUUAAUAUCAGGUAUUUUCUAGGCUUUUGACCCCAACAUAAUUAAAUCAGAUGUGAACUCACCAAUUUUUAACUUAAUGCUUGCUCUUAGAAGUGCUUUGCUGUGGAUUCUUGUUUUAAAAAUUCAUGGUUAUUCUUGAUGUAAUCUAUUACCUGUAUUUAUUUACAUUCUUUCCCAUCUCUAUAGACUAAUGGUGAGAAGCAGUGCAAGUGUCUUGCAAAAUACAUUGAAAAUGACAUUAGAGGGUGCUUCCACAGUUUGGACAUAGUCUCUGCUUUUGCUGGCAUUCAAAGAUUUCUAACUGGAUUCUGUCAAUGACCAAUUUGAUUUGUGCAUAAUCUUGUAUUUCAGUCAUCAACUAGGAAACAAGGAGAGGAGGAAAGAAAUUCUGGAAGCUCUACCAUUGAUUUUCGGCUAGGUGUUUAAGGCUUUUUUCUUUUUUCUUUUUUCUUUUUUUGGGUGGGGGAUAUUUUUUGUUGAAACUCUAUCAAGUGACCAAAAAAAAAGGAAAACAUAAAUUUUGUAUCCUUGGGCAUUGACUUGGGUGGUAUAGAGGUAGGUAAAUAUGCUUUGUUUAUUAGCAAUGUGAUAUCAUGUUUUAGUUUCUUGAUCUUCUUGAGGCAUUUUUAUGUGAAGUAUGUUGAUGAACUACAUUCUGGGAGAAAUAAGAUUCAGUUAAGCCUAUUGGACUUAUGUUUAUGCUA